CACAAAAGUAGGUAAGAUGACUAUAGUAAUCUAACUAGGCUACAAUACAGAAAACCAAGAUCAGGAAGGUUAAAGGAGCAAAGCAAAACAAAACAAAAUCCCUGCCAAUCAAACAAAAAACCCAAGUAUAGCUAACGAUGAACCAAUAAAACAACUAAGAAGCGUGACUUGAACCUGUUGGCUGGGUCAGGCUUUGGGAAUACUUAAGAGCCUGAUCUCAGUGAUUCAACAAACAAAAACUGAGCACCUACUACAUUCCAGACACUGUUCUAGUGUCUAAACUUGGUAUCCUCUUGGAGCUUUUUAGUGGGGGAGAAGAUGAUGAACACAAUGAGCCAUGAGGGAUAGCUUCAGGAAAAGCCUUCCAGAUUAAGAGAAGAAUAGCAAGCUCAAAGAGCCCAAAGAAGGAACAAGUUGUUUUCAAAGAAGGCCAACCACUUGAGGCUACAGUGAAUGAAGGGGAGAAGCAUGGGAGAUGAGAAGGUGAGAUGUGUGAACCCAGUAUGACCCCAGGCCGGGAGUGGGGGGAGUGGCCUAGGGGAAGUGUGGAAGCAAGAGGUAGGUGUCUACUUAGGACUUCCAGGAAGCAAUGAUACUUGGAAACACCACCAUGCUGAGGAUCUUUUCUGACUCCGCAUGUUCUGUUGAUUCAUUUCAGCUGACUCCUCCUGGGAUAGGGAUCUAAAAGGCAAACAUCAGCCACCUAUUUGCCUGUUGUGGAUAACACUGUUGGUGAUACGAUAGCCCUGAGCUGAGGUCUUGGUCAAGUCACUUCACCUCAUUGAACAUUGGUGGUCCACAAAGGGUCCUUUCUCAGGUCUGACAUCCUCUGAGUCCUAAUUUUUGUGAUUGAACUAUAAUGAGCUCCACCACCCAAGAUGACCACAGGGGUA
rnacentral:lncRNA from 1 species